rnacentral:rRNA from 6 species
CCCCGGUAAACGGCGGCCGUAACUAUAACGGUCCUAAGGUAGCGAAAUUCCUUGUCGGGUAAGUUCCGACCUGCACGAAUGGCGUAAUGAUGGCCAGGCUGUCUCCACCCGAGACUCAGUGAAAUUGAACUCGCUGUGAAGAUGCAGUGUACCCGCGGCAAGACGGAAAGACCCCGUGAACCUUUACUAUAGCUUGACACUGAACAUUGAGCCUUGAUGUGUAGGAUAGGUGGGAGGCUUUGAAGUGUGGACGCCAGUCUGCAUGGAGCCGACCUUGAAAUACCACCCUUUAAUGUUUGAUGUUCUAACGUGGACCCGUAAUCCGGGUUGCGGACAGUGUCUGGUGGGUAGUUUGACUGGGGCGGUCUCCUCCUAAAGAGUAACGGAGGAGCACGAAGGUUGGCUAAUCCUGGUCGGACAUCAGGAGGUUAGUGCAAUGGCAUAAGCCAGCUUGACUGCGAGCGUGACGGCGCGAGCAGGUGCGAAAGCAGGUCAUAGUGAUCCGGUGGUUCUGAAUGGAAGGGCCAUCGCUCAACGGAUAAAAGGUACUCCGGGGAUAACAGGCUGAUACCGCCCAAGAGUUCAUAUCGACGGCGGUGUUUGGCACCUCGAUGUCGGCUCAUCACAUCCUGGGGCUGAAGUAGGUCCCAAGGGUAUGGCUGUUCGCCAUUUAAAGUGGUACGCGAGCUGGGUUUAGAACGUCGUGAGACAGUUCGGUCCCUAUCUGCCGUGGGCGCUGGAGAACUGAGGGGGGCUGCUCCUAGUACGAGAGGACCGGAGUGGACGCAUCACUGGUGUUCGGGUUGUCAUGCCAAUGGCACUGCCCGGUAGCUAAAUGCGGAAGAGAUAAGUGCUGAAAGCAUCUAAGCACGAAACUUGCCCCGAGAUGA